AUCUAGCGGCUGGAUCCUGUGUCAGAUUCUAGCUCUGCUCAGAUAGAGCACUCACUGCUUGCCUGCUCCUGUACCCAGCGUGGGCCAGGUCAAGCCAAGAAAGAAGAUCAACAUGUUCAAAACAUUUGUAUUCUUCCAUUUCUCAGCAUAAUGCCAUUUAGCGUAACCGGAGACAAGGGUAAUUGCAGCGUCUCUGCCCCAAUACUUUUCAAAUGAGAUAAUGUAUCUGAAUUGCGGAAGAAAGUGCUGCAGACAAAUCAGGCUCUGGGCUCUGAAAUAGAAGGCUCUCAGCGUUAUGUGACUCAAUUAGUGCAUUUGAGAAACCAGCCCUCACUCUUAAGUGGUGUCAGCUAAAGCAGCUAGACUCCUUGGUGGUGAGAGAGAGACCGGUGUCGCAAAGAGUGAAAGAAAUACACACCUGGUUGGCUCAGUCUUUGAUAUAUUUUGCAAACCAGAAAAGAAGAAGUUGAAUGGAGUCUCUGCAGAACUUCCUUUCAGACAAGUUUAAUAUAAUAUUCUGCUAAUCCCUUUUGCCUUUUGAAUUAGAAUAAGUUUGUUCUUCUAUAUCACUUGAUUGUACAUCCUGCCAUUUGACUGGAGCAAUAAGCAAAAUGACCUGUAAUAAAAGUGUUUUGAAGCUGUGUAUUAAAUGCAAUUAGCCUAGAAAAAAAAAGUAUUGGGGGGGGGGUAUCCUUACUACACAGAGUUGGUGGGUUUCUGAAAAAGCUGCAAGAAAAGGACCUUUCACCUCUCAUUAGUGAUGCCAUCAAUGCUUUGGCAGAGCGGAGCUGAGGUCAUGUUACAUAUGGCGCACAGUCUGUUCAGCCCUUGAAUCGUCAGCUUUGAAAUUUUAGAGAGGGUAAAGGUCAUCUUUAAUAAGCUAAAGUCUGGGGGUUCCCAGUGCUCUUGUUGCAAACUGUGUGGGUGUCCAUAUGCUUCGAACUGCUGCACAACUUUUAUUCCUCAUUUAGUUUGUAAUGUUUUAGUUGAUUUUUGUAUUCUACCUCUUGAAUUUAUGUUUAAUGUUAAAUUCUAACCUACUGAAAUGGACCAUCCUUACAACCACCACCACCGCCCCAGUAACUCUAUCAUCUCUCUUUUUCCUUUUAUGCAAUCAUAAAACUGUCUGUUCUGAAUGAUACCUUUUUAUAACUCAGCUUCCCAGGAGAAAUGAAGUAUAUCUGUCUAUCUGCACACAUGAACCAGACAUGCAGGAUAUAGGGUUUCCAUUCUGAGUGGGUAAAUUAGACCUCACCGUUGUACACUACAUCAUUUACUGGCCCUUCAAAACCUUAAUACUUCCAUGCUUAAUAAAGGUCCUUGUGUCUGAAACUUCCUGGACAGUGCUCAGCAUUUCAUGCCAGUUAUUGAAAUUUCACAACUUAUUUUCACCAUGUGGAACAAACCUCCAAAUCAGAAUACAUUUGCUAUUCUAUAAUGUUGAGGAUUACUGACAGAUGCAUAGUCAGAAAGAUUUUUUUUAGUUUUAAUGAAGUACUUUCUUGCUCAGAAAUAUUAAGAACAUUUGUGAAUAUUUAAUCUUCAGGAUUUUUCAAGAAAUGAAACCAACUAAAGCCCAAACAACUGAACCUAGCUCCUGGGAACUGAAUGUAAUUUUUUUCAUUUCAUUCUGAAAAAAAAAAAAGCUGCUCAGCAUUGAUGUGUCAGUUAUUAUACUUUAGAGGACUUAAAAUUUUUUUAUUGUGAACCCCAUCAUCAACAAAUAUACAACCAUUUAUAUACAGAUAUGUAAAUAAUUCCUAUCCAAAUGCUUCAUCAAUAUACAAAAAAACAAGAAAGAGGGCUCAUAAAGUUUGAAUUUUUGUUAUCAUGUAUUUGUUAUAAAGGACUUUUCUCCUUAUGGUCCUAGAGGGAUGGCUUUAGCUAGUACAUUUCAUCCUUUUAUCAUGCAUGUUUAUGUCUAUCUAUUUUUAGUUAUAAUCUCAAUUCUUAUUUUCAUUUAUUGUUUCUUUUAGGAAAAGGGAUCUAUUUCAUUCAUAUUAUCUACUAUACAAAGUAACCUUCAAAAGAUGUUUACCUUUAGAUGUGAGACAAAAGAGCCUGUCAGAUAAUAUACAAAUACAAUAUCAGAUGGGAAAGCUUGUGUGGCAAAAAUAUUUGUUUUCUUUUAUUUAAAAUUAAUGAUAAAUGUUUCAAAAUUAUAGUAGAAGCAACAAGAUGUGGCAUUUUAAAAAUGUAUCAUGAGAUGUGAUGUUUAGUGUCUAUCUUUCAUUUCAAGCAAGAAUUUCAGAAUUCUAUAUUAUAGUUUAAUUAUCAAGCAUUUAUUAAUUGCCUACCAAACCAAGCUGUCUGUCUGUAAUGGCUGAUGGGACAUAAUGCAAUGAUUCUCCCCACUAAAGAUGACUUUACAUAAAUAAUUCAUAUCCAAACACUUUUCCUACAUUAAGACUAUCUGCUAAUGAGCUAGUGAACUUUGUGGGACUGCAGGCAACACAAAGUACUUGACCCUUUGAUGACCCAAAUGGAGAGUAUGUCCUCUAGAUUUAGUAGGUAGGGAUCCUAGAUUAGGAUGAUUCUGUAGUUUCAAGGUGUGUGUGCUAGGGUAGAAAGAAAGGGUAGGAAGUGGUACUGAUGGGUUUUUAAAAAAAUACAUACAUACACAUAUUUAUAUAUACAUACACAUAUAAAAGACUUUUGAAUCUUUUUUUUUUUUAAUUUCCAAAGUUGUUAAAAGAAGACUUGCCCUGGAAGACGUGUCAUACUAGUAAGCCUGCAAGAACACAUAGCAUUUCAAGAAACAGAAUUCACCACUGACAGCCAGGAUAGAACAAUUGAAAACUUCUUGAUUAUAAAGGUUGUUGAAUUCUAGAAAAGAUUAUUGAUAGAGUCUGUUUUAGAAUACCAUGGUUUGGAGUGAAAGGACUCAGUUUUGGAUCCUGGCCCUGGCACCUGUUCCUUCUAUGACCCUGGGCAAGUCAUUUAAUGUCAUCACAUUCCACAUCCAGUUGUUGUGAAAAAAGUACUCUGUGAACCUUAAAAUUCUCUAUGAGGAAACUGAGACAAACGCAAAAGACUUGCUCAGGGCCAUACAAUUGGGAAGUAUCUAAGGUGAGAUUUGAACCUAGGUGUUCUUGACACCAGGCUCAGUUCUAUCCACUGCACCACAUGGAAACAAGUAGAAAAUAAAUUAUUGAAAACAGUAAAAUUUUUGUUUAAUUUUCAUAUUGCCAGUACUAGCAAUGCCUUACUCAUUUUGGCACCUGUGAUAACCUUAUACUUAGGAAGACCCAGAUUCAAGUCUUACCUUUGACCCAUACUGCCUAAGUCACUCUGAGUAAGUCCAUAUGACCUCUCUAAUAUACCCCCAUGGAACUCUCUAAAAUUAUAAAUUCCAGAACAGUUACUGAUUGGUAGAAGGAAUGCUCCCUAGACCAGUAAAAUUACAGGUCAGGACUUACAUAUGGUAGGCAUUUAAUAAAUGCUUAUUGUAUAAAAUUGCACAGAUAUAGCUGAGCUACAAGAUUGAACAUAGAAUAUAGGACUCAGCAUUGGUUUUCAUUUAAAUUGUUUUUAUUUACUCAAAAGGAUAAGAAAGUAAAAUCUGCGCUGAACAGUUAUUUGGGAUUGAGGACCAAAAUAAAAUCUGGUUAAUGAAAAUAUUUAACAGGACUAUAUUUGAUCAUUUAAAAAAUACCUUACCUUUUAAAUACUGCUCUGCACUUUUUCAAAGAAUUUCCACAUUAUUUGUCUCAUCUGAUCCAAAUAACUCCAAAAGGCAGAUGAGGCAAAGACCAAGAAUUAUCUCAUGAUACAACAUAUUGCCAUGAGUUUUUAUUAAAACUCAUAUACAUACCAGAUACCUUCCAAACUGUUCUAUGAACAUGCAACUAACUCAUUUUAAAUCUGAAGAGAACAUGAUUUUUGAAAGUCCAGAGAUCAUAGAUCCUGAUGGUGUUUGUCUGUUUCCACUAUAAUCAGGACAGUUAAUUCUCUCCCUCUCCCUGAUCAAAGUAUUCUUUUCUUCCUAGAACUCUAUUUAUGCUGGGUGUCUUUUGUCAAUCUUCUUCUACUUUUCAAUAUCUAUUUUGUAGCAAUACUGAUUGGUUGGCUUGUAAGAAUGAAUGGGUAUCUUAUGGGUAGAUAGGCUCAAAAUCCUCCCUAGUUUUUGUUAACUGUCUCCAAGUAUAGGCACUAUUAGACAUUUUAGCAUACGAGAUUCAGAAUCCUGAUAUAAAUAAUGAGAUGAAAUCCAUCAUCAAUGUGAAGAAAAGGUGCAAAAAAAGCUUGAUGAGAAAGGGUAUGUCGAUGGGAUUUGAUGGUUUUGUAUUUUACUCUGUGUUUUUAGUGAAAUGAGGUUAAGAUUGUUAUUCUAGAUUUUUACCUUGAAUGUAUUUCUUUUAAUAGUGA